CAGCAUUCACAGCCGACCACAGCCACCGAUGUUGUCAGGCACCUGUACGGUGUGUUUCAGCUCAGUGAUCAGCUGGCCUGUGAUUCCGGCAUGAACCCAUCUCUCAAUGUCUGCAACAUGACCUGCUCUGCUUUGACAGAUGAUGACAUCACUGAUGACAUCGCCUGCCUGAAGACCCUGAUGAACAUCACGAAAGCUAAACCCAAAGAAAUCCCCACUCAUGUAAAGAAGAUUGUGGAGAUGAAGGAGUGCCCCUCUGUCGCUUCCCCAAACUACUUUGCUGACUGUGUUUAACACACACAGAGCAGACUCACUCUAGCUGCAUCCUGCUGCAUGACUUACACUCACACACCAGUCUGAUGCUUUCCAUGGCCUCCGUCUUUGAUUGAAUUGUGACAAGAUCAUCAUGAUGGUGGCGGGAGACUCUGAAUAGAGGGAGUUUGUGCAUUAAGACACUUUAGUUUACUACUGUAAUACUGUGAAUGUUUAAACUUCUGUCUAAACAUAAAUCACUGUUUAAAACUAUAUGAUUGUGCUGCUUCUGAGGGCUUUUAAAUACUGUCACUUUAUCAUAAAAACAAAAU